AAUUCUCAGAUCUUGAAUUGUUGUAAUGGCAAGUCAAGAUUUUGGAUGUGGAGUUUGCAGACUUUCAUUGCUUUGCUUCUCUUAAAAGAAUUAGUGGCGACUGUUCUCCACAUUGGCGUGAUAGUUAUCUAUGCCUGUAUGUGUGAGAUGUUAAGUGUAGCUGCUUUCAAACAGUCUAGGAUAACUGGACAAUUAUUUGAACU
rnacentral:misc_RNA from 1 species